rnacentral:rRNA from 1 species
UACAGCCACAUCACGUUGAAACACCGGUUCUCGUGCAAUCACUGAAGUUAAGCAACGUCAAUCCUAGUCAGUACCUAGAUGGGUGACCGCUUGGGAAUACCAGGAGCUAUA